rnacentral:rRNA from 1 species
UGGCGGCGUGCUUAAUACAUGCAAGUCGAACGGUUCUCGCAAGAGGAUAGUGGCGAACGGGUGAGUAACGCGUUAGUGACCUGCCCCGAAGAGAGGGAUACCAGAUCGAAAGGUCUGCUAAUACCGCAUGAGUUUCCGGUCGUUAGAGAGCCGGAAAGAAAGCCGAAAGGCGCUUCGGGAGGGGCUUGCGUCCCAUCAGCUAGUUGGUGAGGUAACGGCCCACCAAGGCGAUGACGGGUAGGGGACCUGAGAGGGUGACCCCCCACAAUGGAACUGAAACACGGUCCAUACACCUACGGGUGGCAGCAGUAGGGAAUAUUGGUUAAUGGGCGAAAGCCUGACCCAGCAACGCCGCGUGAGUGAUGAAGGCCUUCGGGUUGUAAAACUCUUUUUACGGGGAUGAGGAAGGACAGUACUCGUAGAAUAAGUCUCGGCUAACUACGUGCCAGCAGCCGCGGUAACACGUAGGAGACGAGCGUUAUCCGGAUUUACUGGGUGUAAAGCGCGUGCAGGCGGUUCAGUAAGUUGGAUGUGAAAGCUCCUGGCUUAACUGGGAGAGGUUGUUCAAGACUGCUGGACUAGAGGAUGGCAGAGGGGAGUGGAAUUCCGAGUGUAGCGGUAAAAUGCAUAGAUAUUCGGAAGAACACCAGUGGCGAAGGCGGCUCUCUGGGCC